UACAGAGGGGGCAAGCGUUAUUCGGAAUUAUUGGGCGUAAAGGGCGCGUAGGCGGCUUGGCAAGUGGAUGGUGAAAUCCCUCGGCUUAACCGAGGAACUGCCGUCGAAACUGCUUCGCUUGAGACCGGGAGAGGUGAGUGGAAUUCCCAGUGUAGCGGUGAAAUGCGUAGAUAUUGGGAGGAACACCAGUGGCGAAGGCGGCUCACUGGACCGGUACUGACGCUGAUGCGCGAAAGCGUGGGGAGCAAACGGG
rnacentral:rRNA from 1 species